AUGGUCCAUCUUCUCCUCCCCAUUGCUCUCUCUAAUCCCCAAUGUUCACAUUUGGUCUGCUCUUGUCUUGUAGAUGUGCAGGAAGAAAAGGGCCAUAAGAUUGUACAGGCAGAACAGGAUGUUGUUCUGUUCAACCACAUUGCCCCUGGUAAACACGAUAUAUGGUUGCAAAGGUUGAAGAAGAGUAUGUCGAUCCGGAGCCUGAGCAAGCUAUAUUACCACCCCCAGCCAAUAAGAUCCCGGGCCCUGCUGGGAGAUCAAAGGCUGGAAGUGCAUGCAAGAGGGCAUGUUAAUCAGGCAGAUUAUCAUUCAAAGUCUGGAUCUACGAUGCUUCUGGCGCAGGUCCUGUUUCUCUCAUUCCUCCCUCCCAAUCCUCAACUUUCUGGAUCAUGGACGUAA
rnacentral:rRNA from 1 species